UGGGGAAUAUUGCGCAAUGGGCGAAAGCCUGACGCAGCAACGCCGCGUGGGGGAUGAAGGUUCUCGGAUUGUAAACCCCUUUCGAUCGGAACGAAUCCCCUCCUGGUAAAUAAUCAGGAGGAUCGACGGUACCGAGAGAAGAAGCCACGGCUAACUCUGUGCCAGCAGCCGCGGUAAGACAGAGGUGGCGAGCGUUGUUCGGAUUUAUGGGGCGUAAAGCGAACGCAGUCGGUUUGGUAAGUCAGAGGUGAAAGACCACAGCUUAACUGUGGCACUGCCUUUGAUACUGCCGUUCUUGAGUGCAUGAGGGGGAAGCGGAAUUCCGAGUGUAGAGGUGAAAUUCGUAGAUAUUCGGAGGAACACCGGUGGCGAAGGCGGCUUCCUGGCAUGUAACUGACGCUCAUGUUCGAAAGCGUGGGUAGCAAACA
rnacentral:rRNA from 1 species